UACGUAGGUGGCAAGCGUUGUCCGGAUUUAUUGGGCGUAAAGCGCGCGCAGGUGGUUUCUUAAGUCUGAUGUGAAAGCCCACGGCUCAACCGUGGAGGGUCAUUGGAAACUGGGAGACUUGAGUACAGAAGAGGAAAGUGGAAUUCCAAGUGUAGCGGUGAAAUGCGUAGAUAUCGAGAGGAACACCAGUGGCGAAGGCGAGUCCCUGGACAACACCUGACACUGAGGCACGAAAGCUAGGGGAGCAAACAGG
rnacentral:rRNA from 1 species